GAUGAACGCUGGCGGUCUGCUUAACACAUGCAAGUCGAACGGAAUCCUUCGGGAUUUAGUGGCGGACGGGUGAGUAACGCGUGAGAAUCUGCCUUCAGGUUCGGGACAACAGCUGGAAACGGCUGCUAAUACCGGAUGUGCCGAGAGGUGAAAGCUUUAGUGCCUGAAGAUGAGCUCGCGUCUGAUUAGCUAGUAGGAGUGGUAAUGGCACCCCUAGGCGACGAUCAGUAGCUGGUCUGAGAGGAUGAUCAGCCACACUGGGACUGAGACACGGGCCAGAAUCCCAAGGGAGGCAGGAGUGGGGAAAUUUCCCCAAAGGGCGGAAGGCUGACGGAGGAAGACCGCGUGAGGGAAGGAGGUCUGUGGAUUGGAAACCUCUUUUGAUGGGGAAGAAGACAGUGACGGUACCCAUCGAAUCAGCCUCGGCUAGCUCCGUGCCAGCCGCCGCCGUAA
rnacentral:rRNA from 1 species